rnacentral:sRNA from 1 species
GAAAGCCCGCAAGGGUGAGUACAGCGGCGCACGGGUGCGUAACACGUGGGUAAUCUACCUCGAAGUCUGGAAUAACUCCCCGAAAGGGGUGCUAAUGCCGGAUGAGACCACGGGAGCCCCGGCUCCCGAGGGAAAAGAUGGCCUCUGCAUGCAAGCUAUCGCUUCGAGAUGAGCCCGCGGCCCAUCAGCUCGUUGGCGGGGUAACGGCCCACCAAGGCUACGACGGGUAGCUGGUCUGAGAGGACGAUCAGCCACACUGGAACUGAGACACGGUGAAGACUCCUACGGGAGGCCGCAGUGGGUAUUUCUAGAAAUCUCCUACAAAUUUCAG